rnacentral:rRNA from 2 species
GUCGAGCGGUAGAGAGAAGCUUGCUUCUCUUGAGAGCGGCGGACGGGUGAGUAAUGCCUAGGAAUCUGCCUGGUAGUGGGGGAUAACGUUCGGAAACGGACGCUAAUACCGCAUACGUCCUACGGGAGAAAGCAGGGGACCUUCGGGCCUUGCGCUAUCAGAUGAGCCUAGGUCGGAUUAGCUAGUUGGUGAGGUAAUGGCUCACCAAGGCGACGAUCCGUAACUGGUCUGAGAGGAUGAUCAGUCACACUGGAACUGAGACACGGUCCAGACUCCUACGGGAGGCAGCAGUGGGGAAUAUUGGACAAUGGGCGAAAGCCUGAUCCAGCCAUGCCGCGUGUGUGAAGAAGGUCUUCGGAUUGUAAAGCACUUUAAGUUGGGAGGAAGGGCCAUUACCUAAUACGUGAUGGUUUUGACGUUACCGACAGAAUAAGCACCGGCUAACUCUGUGCCAGCAGCCGCGGUAAUACAGAGGGUGCAAGCGUUAAUCGGAAUUACUGGGCGUAAAGCGCGCGU